CCACCCAAAGAAUAGAAAUACCUGACAGUUGCCCGUUUAACACCGGUGGAGUAAUUAUUAAACCCCCCUUUUUUACUAUAUUGCUAAUCCAAACCCAAACUGUCCGAUACAGAGCAGCGCCAGCGUUCAACCAGCAGAGAGCGCAAUCGGGUCACCAUAUCCAUCUCGGUGGCUCCACCCAUGCCCACAUUCCCCUCCCCUCACUCCAUCAGGAGACAGGACCAGAGGAGUCGACACUCACAUAUGCAGGAGAGACCUUCGAGGGAGGUGGAGUCUCAGCCAGCACAGAGAAAGGUAAGUGAUAACAGGGUGACUUAAAAGAUAUGAAGUGUUCUCAGUAUGCUUGGGUUAGAUUUUUUUUUCAGGUGUUAAGCAGGUCAUGGG
ensembl:lncRNA